UGCCCGGGCAUUAAUUAGACACCUGUCCGCCAGAAGAUUACGGGCGAAAGCCUAAAACUCAAAAGACUUGACGGUGUCCUAAUCUACCUAGAGGAGCCUGUUCCAUAAUCGAUAACCCCCGAUAAACCCGACCACCCUUUGAAACAUUCAGCCUAUAUACCGCCGUCUACAGCCCACCUUUUUAAAGAACAAAAGUAGGCUAAACAGACUUUCUCUAAAAAGUCAGGUCAAGGUGUAGCUAAUAGGGUGGAGACAAUGGGCUACAUUUUUUAAAAUAAAACACCACGGACCAGUUUUUUGAAACAAAACUACAAAGGUGGAUUUAGCAGUAAGCUAAAAAAGAAUACUUAGCUUAACCCAGCCCUAGGACACGUACAC
rnacentral:rRNA from 1 species